rnacentral:lncRNA from 1 species
CUCAUGUUGUGAAUACUGGCAAAAGUAAGAACUGUAGACUUCUACCUACUCACAUUAAAGAGCUGCCUGUUGCAGAUACAAGACGGAUGCUGGUUUUUGUGCAGACAUGACACAAAUGCAUAGCUGUUGUGCCUUUUAAUGUAUGUGUUUGAAAGGAUUAAUCAUUGUUUGUUUCAUAUGACUAUCUUACCGACAUGGACUGAUGUUCAGAAAUUUUUGUGCAGAGGCAGUCCAGCACUAAACAACACUAAUUCAAAAUGGCUACACAAUUAGGAGCAUUCAUACCACAUUAUUUUUUAUUGCAAACUGGGCCACGAGAGAUAUGAGAGAGGAAUGCUGCUCCAGGAAAGAAGACACAACUCGCCAUGUAUCUUAUCCAGAUACAGAUUGGGCAAUCCUUCCAGAAUAUUGGUUCUACAAAGCCCAUUGCUGUGAUCUCAUCAUUCACCCUGAUGGUUUUGGUCUUAUGGGAAGUGGAGUCCCCAGAUCGCCUGCUCUGCUACAGAGCAGUGGCUCUGGUACAUUUCCAUAUCUAAUUCAGAUCAACCCUUGUCAUGUUUGAUGAAAACCAGGCUACAGUACUUGCAAUAAGUUUGACUUCCCCAAUAACUCUGAAACAUUUUCUCCUUGCACAACUAGUAUACUGUAUCAGCAUCCACAGUGGGUGGUAAGCAUUGUAUCUUGAAGUUGCUACAUUUCUUUCAAUAUCUCUCCUCCAAAUUGUCAAGAAUGGAUCUCUUAUUCAUACAAGGCAUUGAUGACGGAGAACCAUAAACCAGGACUCAGUGAUUAGUGGGAAGCAUAUGGUCAUGGUGGGUGGCAUCACUUUUCCUUCCUCUUCUGGAUGCCUAAAUCACUAGGAUUGUCUUUGUAGCCUUUUGGGUGCUUAAAGACUUAUCUGCAGCACUCAGAUUAAACUUGUGUGUGGUGUAAAUAUGUCUCUCCAGUGCUUGGUUCAGGGAAUUUAUUUCCAUUGUAUUGUCUUCCCUCCUGCUGGAGACACCGCCUAGAGGCAAGCUCUCUGCUGCACUACCUUCCUUUAUUGUGUGGUGUAAUGCGUGUAGUCAUCUCCCACAAUUUUAGCUCUGCGCUGAUUACACAGUUUUCAGGUCAGAUGCAAGCAAAUCUUGUUCUGUUUAAAGGAUCUAAUUUAACUUCUGCUGCAAAAUAUUCAGGGCAUGAAUUUGUAGUAAAUAAUGUCAGCCAGUCCAGAUGUAUAAAUUAGGUUUAAAAGGUGGAUUUUUAACAUCUAAGAUGGCUUUGAGUUUCUGGCUUUGUCGCUCCUAGUCAGCAUAGGCAGCCCAUGGUCUGGCAGAGGCAGGAGUGCCUCACCCUGAAAUUUUCUCUCCUACCACAAGUGGUCUGAACAUACUAAUGGUAGAAACCUUCUCAGUUCCUACUAGUGUAUUGUUUUCAAUGUGCCACUGCAUGUAUUGACAUGUGCAUACACACACCAUACCGUAUAUGCAUGCGUGCGUGCACAUGCAUACACACACACACACACACACACAGACCAUACCAUAUAUGCAUGCACACGUACACACACACACACAUGCACAGAGUAAGAGAAUAUUAGUGUCUGAUAUUCAGCCUCCUUUAUAAAAACUCCCUUCAAAGAGGCAAAAAAAAAAUGGUGACUUGACACUAAUCAUUUUUUCUUAUUCAGAUCAAUGGAAAAAUGUACAGCAAUAUUUGUAGAUGUUUUUCAUAUGCUGAUUAAAAUAGAUGAAUGUGACCAAUAGAGGAAAAAGCAUUUGUAUGUUAAAAGGUUUCUUAUGUUUCCCGUUUCAAGUAAAUGAGAUUUGGUUACAGUUUUUCCAUAGAAUGGUUAUUUAUUAAUACCGUAAUAAUAGUUACUUGCCAACAAUAGUCAUGAGUGCUAUUUUUAUUCACAGGUGUACUAUGAGUAUGAAACUCCUGCGUACACAGGACAUACUAGGACCUUGUCUUAUAAUUAGGAGAGCAGGCAUUUAUGCAGGGCACAAAAAUAUUCACCCCAGGGAGAGAGAAAAAUAUUUUCAGUGUGGGCUUUUGUUUGUUCCCAUGAAGUUGCUCAUUAUUUCUUUCUCCAUGAAUAGCCAGCAACACAUUUAAAUGUAAUAAGAAAGUAUGUUCUCUUACAAGCAUCUAGUGAGUACCUUGCUAAUUUUCAAACAACCCUUGUCCAUGAAAUAACCAAAGCAGAGUGGUCUUAACCGACCAGAUAGGCGGGAUAUAAAUAAAAUAAAUAAAAAUAAAAUAAAUAAAUGUUCC